rnacentral:rRNA from 1 species
CGGAGGAUCCAAGCGUUAUCCGGAUUCAUUGGGUUUAAAGGGUGCGUAGGCGGAAUGAUAAGUCAGUGGUGAAAUCCCUUCGCUUAACGAAGGAACUGCCAUUGAUACUGUCAAUCUUGAGUACAUUUGAUGUGGGCGGAAUGUGUCAUGUAGCGGUGAAAUGCUUAGAUAUGACACAGAACACCGAUUGCGAAGGCAGCUCACAAAACUGUAACUGACGCUGAGGCACGAAAGCGUGGGUAUCAAACAGGAUUAGAUACCCUGGUAGUCCACGCUGUAAACCAUGAUUACUCGAUGUUUGCGAUACACUGUAAGCGUCUAGGCGAAAGCGAUAAGUAAUCCACCUGGGGAGUACGCUCGCAAGAGUG